rnacentral:misc_RNA from 1 species
GGAGAGGCAAUGAAAAAAAUUAAAUAAAUUAAAAAAUGAAUGUCUAUUCUGAAGUGAGGGAUAUUGAGUUAAAAUUUAUCUUGUGCUCUUUGGGCUGGCUAAUUUCAAAUGAAGACUGAAGGAAAAAGGCAGAAACUAGGUAAAAGAAGAAGGCUGAGAGUUUGUUUAGUGAUUAUGAACAACAAAAAAGUCUUAUGUUGCUUUUAAGUUUAAUUAAUAGUCUCGAGAGAGAUUUUAUCAGGCCCGUUUCACAAUAAAGUAAGGUAGAAAUAGUUAAACUUGAUUUUUAAACUAGUUAGGUUCAAUUGGAUUUGGGUUGGACCUAUGAAAAAGGAAUCAAUACAUUCGGCCUAUCCAAUUCUGUUGAUUCAGCAUUGAUUCAUGGUAAUAGGCAUUUCUUUAGAUGGAUUUGUAUCAACGAGGGGAUAGAGAGGAUCAAAACUAUUUGAUGGAUUUGAAUCGAGAACUGGCUGAUUCUAAGUUAAAAGAACAGAAUUUCAUAACAAUAUCGAGGAUACAGUUUAUAACCCAAUUGAAGGAAGGGAAAAAUAUGUCUCUUUUAUGUUUGAGUGCUGGAGAACUUAGGAUUCUGAGUGGUCUUGAAGCAAACUCUGGAACCAAAGCAACUUGUUUGAUUAUCAAAAUGGCUUUUUGAACAAGUGUGUAUGCAAGAUUGCAAGAUGCUGUUUCUGUAGAAUAAUUUUAUGCUUCUAGGAGCAGCUUGAUCUUUGAUAUGUUAUAUGGUUAUUUGCUUCCAGUGCAUUUUAAGCUGAAUCCUUAUAUAGAACCCCUUAGUAUAAUGCUAUGUUGAGCGUUGACUUUAUUUACAAUUGAUUACCAUUUUAUAUCCUUUUAAAGUAUAUAUAGAAAGCAAACGGUAUCAAACAAGAUGGAUUUCACUGUCAUCUGUCUCCGAACUCUGAAACAGCCUUGACAUGGAAUGUUAAUUGCUUUUAUUGUCUGCUCUCAAAUUUUGUUUAUUCCUAUUCUGUACUUUUUUUUUUAAAUUGCCAAGAUCCAUUAAUUGGUUAUUGUAGAAAGAAUUACCUUAUCACUAAUCAUUUAUGCCUAGAAAUCAAUUUGGUAGCAAAGAACUAUUUUUACAGGUGUAUAGUAUCAGGCUUUGAUGUCUUGAUUGUAUACAAUUAAAGAGAUUUAAUUGGUGUGUGUGAAUGUACCAUGAGAUGCAUCAAUUACCCCUCUCUCCCUCUCUCUUAAAAAAGAGUGGAAUAAUUUUUUUUUUCCCUUUCUUUUUGAUUGGCAAUGUAAUUAAAACCAGCAUUCUUAGUUACAAACUUAUAAUGCCUCUAUAAUGAAAUACCUUCCUGUUCCCUUUGGUUCUGGUUCAUCAUUUGAGAAAACCAUAAAAAUGUUUUUGUAUGUUUAACCAUAUUUGUUAAGCAUGAUAAAUCUUUCCAUUUCUGGGCCAGGUUGAAAGCAUAAUGUUGAGUAUC